ACCCACUCAACUAUUUUCUGCACUUGUUCUUCCAUUUUGUAUCUCUUUGCUGGUCUUGCGCACUCAGAAUAAUGGACCCUGUCAUUUUCUGUGGUGGCCUCGUUGUCAUUGUAAUUAACCGGGAGCUAAAAGAUAACAAGUAGUUGUUAGUAUAAUCUCCUUUGUUGCAGAUUUGGCUGCAAAACUGUCUUCUAACAGUUCAGAAAAUAAUUCAUUUAGCUUAAAACAAAAAGCAAUUACACAUAAAAUUCACAAUUACCUCUUUAUUUUUUGUACCCAACUACUUAAAGCAGCGAUGAUGUGUAGUUUUCUUCAUUCUUCAUUUCAGCUGAAAGUCAGGUGACAGAAAUUAUAGUAAUAAUUAUACAUCAGUACUUGAUCAUUCUUGUUUUUAUUUUUUUUAUUUUAUUUUUUGUGGCAGUGCAUUCUGUUUGACCAAUCAGAAACAAGCUUUUCAAAUCGACUUUACAGGUAAUUGUUCAAUCACAGACUGUCAAAUUACAGGUUGAGCGGGCAACCGAUAUAACAUUUCAACAGAAAUCAUGUUGUUUCCUAACUAUGCUUUGUUUUAUUUCCCUGACUCGGACAUGGUGAAGGUGGACAGCACCGAUAUACUUUUAAGAGAACACAGACGAGCAGAGUACCAGGUCAGCUCCCGCGAACAACUUAGAGGUGAAGAGGGCUACGUAGAGGUGCGCCUGACAAGUCGCAGCCAACAUGGACAGACCAAGAUACUACCAGCAAAAAUACUACUUCUUAGUGACGCUUACAAAGAUUAAUUGUAAAGAGAGAUGCUUUUAAGAGAGGAGAAGACAUCUGGAAGGCCACUGAACUGCAAGGGGAAAAAAACAUCUAUAGCUGUAAAGGUUUUUGAUUUUCUUAAUCUUUUUCUAUUAAAGGUGCUGUAUGUAAGAUGUUGACUCUACUAAAGCAUAAAAAUAUCCUAAUAUGUUUGCAGAUAUUUAAGAAACAUGCUAAGUUAACAUACUUGUUUAUCUGAAAUACAAUGCUACAGUCAGUUAUUCUCCUUUGAAAAUGUGCGUCCCGGGCCGGAAUGUCUGUCUGUGUUUUGGUUUCUGAAACCCACCCACUGCCAGUUUACCCAAUUGUAUUUCGGCACCUGGGUUGCCAGUUGGCAGAAAACACAGCGUAUUCCAUUUCAUUCAUCGUCAAGUGCGCUCGUUCCUGUUUGUGUCGGCAAUCUGGCAACCUGCUUGAGGAGGAGGGGCAGGGUGAAAAAACCCUCUCCAAUAUUUAGAAUUUGGACUGGAAUACCUAGUUCAACCACUCGGUGUCAAUCCUACAUACAGCACCUGUAAGGGUUUUUUUGUUUGGGUUUUUUUUUUGAAGUGUUAAUUUUAAUGUGUUGCUUUUAGAGUGCAAGUACAACUCAAAGAGUUGAGACCUCCAGAACUUACAAAGGAAAAAAGCAGCACUUGUAACCUCUACUCCAAUGUCAGACGAUUCAGAUAACACUGACAUUGAUCCGUUUGAAAAUACAGAGCAGAGACCAUCAAGGAAAAGGAAGCAGCAUUUUAAUUUCAUAUAAAAUAAUUUUAACAGUUUUUUUUGUUUGUUUGUUUUUUCAAAUCUGACUAAUAGAGCAAGGUUCGCCACCACUUGUUUUUAGAAGGAGAUUCAUAAAGCAUGCUCUAUUUCAGGUGUCCCAUUGGUUCCUUCAGUAAGAUUGAAAAGAAAUGUUUAAAUAUGUAAAAAUAUAUUUUAAGCCUCUUCUAACCUUGUGCCAAAUGUAACAUACAGGCUGCACUGGACAGUGAAGCGAACAAGAAGAUAAUGUAAGCAAGGAUUUUGAGAACAGUCUUUUGCAGAGGACAUCUCCCCAGAACACUCCCGUCACGCUUUAUGAUGAUGUUGUCAAAGCUUUGAAAGGUAAAAUUCUAGGAAUUAAAAUGUAAAUAUGAAACCUUUAUUAAAAGAUUCAAUUCCUGAGUCAACAAUUCUUGAUCAGCUUCUCUCUUUUAGGUUACAAAAUUAUAUGUACAUGUGUGCAUUCAGCCUAGUUUUUAUAAUCAGUCUGUCCAAUUUAGUUACGUUAGAUUAGGUUAAACUAAAGGGGACCUAUCAUGCAAAAUUCUCUUUUAUAAGGAGUUUGAACACAAUUGUGUGUCCACAGUGUAUGUAAUCAACACCUGUAAUGGUAAAAAUCCCCCCACUCAUUUUUUUUAUAAUCCCCUAAAUCAUAAACAGUCUCUCUGAACAUGCCAUUCCAGAUUUCUCCCUAUGUUCAUGUCACUGUGAUCUGAAACUUCUGCAUCAUGAACAGUUUUUAAUGAUCCAUUUUGAGUUAUAUUUGCUGUGUGAGCUUCUCCUGUAUUGUUUGUCAGUGUAAAGUGAAUCACGAACACAUGAAAUCAGCACAUUGUUUCGCCCACCCAAAAAGAGGCAGUUAAUACAUCAUAUAACAAAUGAUCCGUGGGGUAUUUUGAUCUGAAACUUCACAGACAUAUUUUGGGACACCUAAGAUUUAUAUUGCAAAAAGGGGCAUAAUAGGUCACCUUUAAUGUUUUAAAUGCAAUUGUUGUCUACAGAAGAGGAUUAGGGCCGAGCAAUAAUAAACACACUUGUAAUGUUCA
ensembl:lncRNA